CAGACCCUGGGAAGAGAGAGAAAAUCGGCACGGUUGUGUUCUCGGAGGGUCUAAGCAAAAGCAGAUGAGUAGGCAACCACAAAUCUGCCAGGACAGCACAACGGCCUGUAGUGUGUGUGUCUCUGUGUGUAUGUGUGUGGCAUUUUGAUGCCUCUGGAUGGUUUCCACCCAGCAGCGGAGAUUAAUACGGUCCCGAGGGCAGGGUGGUUAGAGAAUUAUUUUUAUUCCCACGCUGGAUCUUAGUCAUUUGGGCUGGCUCUUCUCCUUGCGGGCAUGCUCCAGAUCUCCUGGGAACUACACCUCCCUGGCUGGCCCUCGAGCUGGGAAUUUUGGAGUUCGGAGUCCCAGCCAGGGGUGAAAUCUAAUUACCUUCCCUACCAGUUCGGGAGUACACGGGCCAUCGUUGUGUGCGAUUUUGGACCUUCUGCACAUGCACAGAGGGUCAAAAACGGGUUACUUCCUGGUUAAAACCAGGAAGUAAUGACAUCUGGGCGGGUGGGUGGAGCCUUGUGUUGCCGCCACUACCAGUUCACUGAUCCACCCACCGCUGCUACCAGUUCGCUGAUCCACCAACCGCCGCUACCAGUUCGCUGAUCCACCCACCGCCGCUACCAGUUCGCUGAUCCACCCACCGCCGCUACCAGUUCGCUGAUCCACCCACCGCCACUAGCAGUUCGCCAAUCCACCCACCACCGCUACCAGUUCGCUGGUCCACCUAUCGCCGCUACCAGUUCGCUGAUCCACCCACCGCCACCAGUUCGCUAAUCCACCCACCGCCGCUACUAGUUCGCUGAUCCACCCACCGCCGCUACCAGUUCACCUGCGCAAGAUACAUGCGAAGGGCUGUUGUAACUUCAGACGGUCACUAAAUGAACUGUUGAAAGCAUGGAAAGAUAAGACGGGCUGGAGACCAGAGAGGCUCAGAUUUUAAAAUCUCUUGAAGGAGUUGAACAGGUUGUGGCAGGACUCGGGUUGACUCUGCUGCUGCUGCUCUUGGAGCGAAGCUCUGAUUUCUGCGUUCUGGAACAAGCCCUGGAAAAACUGGUUUUGAGAAUCCUUCAGCCUCCAACGGAGAUGAUGUAGGCGUGAAAUGGGUCACCUCAGCUCUGGGAUUACCUGAAAACAUAUCCGGCCCAGCCCAGUGUUCGGAAUUAUAAUUGUGGAACAAUUAAUUCUAGAGUACAGGGAAAAAAGGAAAAUUGCUUUUGGCAUCACGAAACAUUACAAGUUCAAAGAAUAAAGCCAGCUAAAAAUA